rnacentral:rRNA from 1 species
AACGAACGCUGGCGGCAUGCCUAACACAUGCAAGUCGAACGAGACCUUCGGGUCUAUGGGCGCAUGGGGUCGUAACGCGUGGGAACCUGCACUUAGGUUCGGAAUAACUCCCCGAAAGGGGUGCUAAUACCGGAUAAUGUCUUCGGACCAAAGAUUUCUCGCCUUUGGAUGGGCACGCGUGGGAUUAGCUAGUUGGUAGGGUAAAAGCCUACCAGGGCGACGAUCUAUAGCUGGUCUGAGAGGAGGAUCAGCCACACUGGGACGGAGACACGGCCCAGACUCCUACGCGAGGCAGCAGUGCCUGAUAGUGGAACAUCGGCGAAAGCCUGAUCCACCACUGCCGCGUGAGUUCUGAUGGCCUUAGAGUUGUAAAGCUCUUUUACCCGGGCUGAUAAUGACAGUACCGAGACAAUAAGCCCCGGCUAACUCCGUG